rnacentral:rRNA from 1 species
CCUACGGGGGGCAGCAGUGGGGAAUAUUGCACAAUGGGCGAAAGCCUGAUGCAGCAACGCCGCGUGAAGGAAGAAGGGCUUCGGCUCGUAAACUUCUAUCAGCAGGGACGAAAGAAAUGACGGUACCAGAAUAAGCAGCCCCGGCUAACUACGGGCCAGCAGCCGCGGUAAUACGUAGGGGGCAAGCGUUAUGCGGAAUUACUGGGGGUAAAGGGUGAGUAGGCGGCAUGGUAAGCCAGAUGUGAAAGCCUUGGGCUUAACCCGAGGAUUGCAGUUGGAACUAUCAAGCUAGAGUACAGGAGAGGAAGGCGGAAUUCCUGGUGUAGCGGUGAAAUGCGUAGAUAUUAGGAGGAACACCAGUGGCGAAGGCGGCCUUCUGGACUGAAACUGACGCUGAGGCACGAAAGCGUGGGGAGCGAACAGGAUUAGAUACCCGAGUAGUC